AGCGACACCAUGUGGUAUUUCCUGUCAACGUUCUGUCUGUACUGCGCAGUCGCGGUGUCAUGUAAACAGCAGAGGUUCGUGAGCUAGCUAACCAGCUACAUAGAUGUUAAGGCGUUGAUACCGGCGAUAUUGUUCAAAUGUAGCUUUCAAUCAAUAUAUUUGUCUUUCUUCACCACACAUCGCAUUGUCUAGCAGGAUAAUCUGACCUGAGAGACCCUUAUCUACACCGAGGAAACCUCCUUUUGUUGUUUUGAUCAGUGAUUCGAGAAGGCUAACGUUACUGUAGCUAGCAAGUUAACGUUAGACAGCAUAGUUUGGGUCCUUGCAACGUUGAGCUUCAAAGCUCGAAUGAAACGCCAGCGGAGUGGUGGGGAAGAGGAGAAUGGCCAGCUGGUGCCUAAGGCCAAAAGGUUGAGCAGAGGAGCUAACCCCUCUCUCCUGAGCUGGGCCUGGAUGCCUGGGACUCGGAGUUGUCCAACAGUGAGAGCAGAGGGAUUAGCAGUCCGGACCAUGCGGUGGGGAGCAGCAGCAGUAGCCAGUGUGCUGUGGACAGCCUCAGUGGGGCCCAACCCUUAGCCCCUGGCCCAUGUAGUCCCCUCAGCUCGGCUCUCUCCUCAGAGCUAGCUGACCCCACUAACCUGGUCUCGUACCAUCAAAUCAACCGCAUCCUACGAGAGGCCCACUUUGAGAGUCUGCAGUGCCGAGGCCACCCCAGAGAUGCAUGAUGAUUUCCCC